CAGUUAAGGUUUAUUCAAAAUUGUCAAAAAACAAAGUUUAAUAUGUGUUCUCGUACGAAUACUUAAUAACAGACAGACGGCCACAGGAAAAAAAAUUCCAAACAAAUACUGAAACGUUUCACUAUCGAUCAAAAAUCCGAAAAAUUACACAUAUCACGUAUCAUGAUAACAUUGUUAAACUGUAAACUUGUGUUGUUUAUAAUAUAAAUUGAAAUUCUUCGUGUACAUAUUGUCAAUAUUUCAUUUUAUUACUUGAAAUUUUGCAGGUGUAGAAAAUUCAGGGGAGGCAACUGCCUCCCCUUCCUCAGUCAUAUGUAGUUACGGCCCUGAAAACUGUUAAUAUUACAAAGGCUAUAGGCAUGAUAGGCAUGGGAAUAUCAACCUGAAGCAAGUUGUACCAAUGGAAAUGACAGAAGACCCAGUAAGAACACUUCAUAAUCGGGAUUGCAACUUCACCAUCUGAUACAACAUCUAGUUCAUCAAAGAUGACCUAUGCUGAAGUAGUGAGACUUCUUGUGCGUGCAAAAGGAGACAAAACUAAGACCACCUUUGAUAUUAAGAGAUGGGUUUAAGCUGACAGAAAUAACAGAAUAAAUGUCUCAGUAAUUUCUAACAAUGGAGUUGAAAGCAAAAUAAAACACUAAAAUAUGAAUACUUGCAACUAAGGAAAUCCUUCACCUUGAGCCAUUUGCUGUCGGUGAUGGAUAUAAAUGUCAGGUUGAUCAAGACUUCAAGUUCCAAUACUAGUGUCAAAGAGUGAAGGACAAGAACAAUUUUAAAGAACAGAGAAGACUGGUUUUAUUGUACUUAGUUUUUAGUUUUUGUUAAUGUUUUACCACUAUGAUGGUUAUAGAGUAAUGUAAAAUUCUGGAAAUGUAUUUUUUUUAUAUAUCUGUUUUGUAAUUACUCCUUUUAAGAUAUGUUAUAGAUGUUGUUGGUUUUUUUUAUACCUGUUCCUACUUGAGUACCAAGGACAACUAUUUGAAGUUUUUAGUAAGGUUCCUUUCUUUGUAUUUUUUUUAUUACAUAAGAUUAAGAUGUCAUCCUUGGAUAACUCAGACAUGCAUAUAUGUUUUUUACUUCUUGUUAUGUGUAGUAUUAAUCCCUCCCCACAUUAUAUUUAGUUUUGAAAAAAAAAAACCAUAAGGACUGUCUACUAUGGAUGCCUCUAAAAAAAAAAGAUAAUAUUGGCAUACAUAAUACAAAAAAUUAGGAAGACUUCAUACAAAAAAACUUGAAACUGUCACAUCAGUGAUUCUUUUUGUAUAAUUUUGGUUAGUUUUUAAUCUCAUUUUUCAAUUGAGAUUUUCUUCGUUGCAUAGAGAAUUUUCAAUUUACCUCACAAUGUGAUUUUUAAAUGUUGUAAAUACAGAAAAACAUACAUAAUAGUCCAGUCAAAACUUAUCCAGUCAAUCUAAGGUUUGACCUCAAACUAAUUGCAACAGAAAAUGUUUCAGUUCUAAUCUAUAUAAAAUUAAGCUCCAGAUAUACAGAU